rnacentral:misc_RNA from 1 species
GAUGAAGAACGUAGCGAAAUGCGAUACGUAAUGUGAAUUGCAGAAUUCAGUGAAUCAUCGAAUCUUUGAACGCAUAUUGCGCUCUCUGGUAUUCCGGAGAGCAUGCUUGUUUGAGUAUCAGUAAACACCUCAACUUCCAUAUCUUUUUGGAAAUGGGAGUUGGACUUGAGUGAUCCCAACGCUUUUCUUCACCGAAAAGUGGCGGGUUACUUGAAAUGCAGGUGCAGCUGGACUUUUCUCUGAGCUAUAAGCAUAUCUAUUUAGUCUGCCUAAAAAACAGAUUAUUACCUUUGCUGCAGCUAACAUAAAGGAGAUUAGUUCUUGUGCUGACUGAUGCAGGAUUCACAAAGACGGCUUCGGCCGACUUUGUAAACUCGAUCUCAAAUCAAGUAAGACUACCCGCUGAACUUAAGCAUAUCAAUAAGCGGAGGA